rnacentral:rRNA from 1 species
GAUGAACGCUGGCGGCGUGCCUAAUACAUGCAAGUCGAGCGAACGGACGAGAAGCUUGCUUCUCUGAUGUUAGCGGCGGACGGGUGAGUAACACGUGGAUAACCUACCUAUAAGACUGGGAUAACUUCGGGAAACCGGAGCUAAUACCGGAUAAUAUUUUGAACCGCAUGGUUCAAAAGUGAAAGACGGUCUUGCUGUCACUUAUAGAUGGAUCCGCGCUGCAUUAGCUAGUUGGUAAGGUAACGGCUUACCAAGGCAACGAUGCAUAGCCGACCUGAGAGGGUGAUCGGCCACACUGGAACUGAGACACGGUCCAGACUCCUACGGGAGGCAGCAGUAGGGAAUCUUCCGCAAUGGGCGAAAGCCUGACGGAGCAACGCCGCGUGAGUGAUGAAGGUCUUCGGAUCGUAAAACUCUGUUAUUAGGGAAGGACAUAUGUGUAAGUAACUGUGCACAUCUUGACGGUACCUAAUCAGAAAGCCACGGCUAACUACGUGCCAGCAGCCGCGGUAAUACGUAGGUGGCAAGCGUUAUCCGGAAUUAUUGGGCGUAAAGCGCGCGUAGGCGGUUUUUUAAGUCUGAUGUGAAAGCCCACGGCUCAACCGUGGAGGGUCAUUGGAAACUGGAAAACUUGAGUGCAGAAGAGGAAAGUGGAAUUCCAUGUGUAGCGGUGAAAUGCGCAGAGAUAUGGAGGAACACCAGUGGCGAAGGCGACUUUCUGGUCUGUAACUGACGCUGAUGUGCGAAAGCGUGGGGAUCAAACAGGAUUAGAUACCCUGGUAGUCCACGCCGUAAACGAUGAGUGCUAAGUGUUAGGGGGUUUCCGCCCCUUAGUGCUGCAGCUAACGCAUUAAGCACUCCGCCUAGGGAGUACGACCGCAAGGUUGAAACUCAAAGGAAUUGACGGGGACCCGCACAAGCGGUGGAGCAUGUGGUUUAAUUCGAAGCAACGCGAAGAACCUUACCAAAUCUUGACAUCCUUUGACAACUCUAGAGAUAGAGCCUUCCCCUUCGGGGGACAAAGUGACAGGUGGUGCAUGGUUGUCGUCAGCUCGUGUCGUGAGAUGUUGGGUUAAGUCCCGCAACGAGCGCAACCCUUAAGCUUAGUUGCCAUCAUUAAGUUGGGCACUCUAAGUUGACUGCCGGUGACAAACCGGAGGAAGGUGGGGAUGACGUCAAAUCAUCAUGCCCCUUAUGAUUUGGGCUACACACGUGCUACAAUGGACAAUACAAAGGGCAGCGAAACCGCGAGGUCAAGCAAAUCCCAUAAAGUUGUUCUCAGUUCGGAUUGUAGUCUGCAACUCGACUACAUGAAGCUGGAAUCGCUAGUAAUCGUAGAUCAGCAUGCUACGGUGAAUACGUUCCCGGGUCU